GAGGACCUUAGACACCACUACACACAUGACUCAUUGGUUUCUUCUCUUUUGCUCCUCUGCUCCAUUAAAUAGAACUAGAAAGAGUUUUAGAAGAAUUCAUAAUUAAUUUGUGCUGAUCAGGAGCUAGAGUUUGUUCUCAUCUCUGUGCUCAAAAUAAAUGUAUGCAGUCAUAUAUCUAAAACUGAUAACAGUAUUUCCAAUGAUAAAAAUCAACAAAGAUAUUACUGCCAAUGUUGUCAACAUUCUUUCUUUUUCCUCUUCCUGAAGCAGUCUCUUCCCGUGAAACUGAUUGUGCCUCACUUAUCCAUUGUCCUUUGAUGAAUUUCAGUUGCAGAUCUCUUUCUAGAAAAUGACAGUUUCAGUCACUCAAUAUGAAGUUCUUGGAACAGUUAAGAUGACAUGGGUCAUGAAUUCGGAAAGGGAAUUAUGAGAAACCAACGCAGGAGAGAGAAUACCCUUUCCAUGUGCUACAGAGAACUCUCACUGUCAUGGCGCAAGGGAAAAUAACCAUUGGAGAUCUUGAAAAGUCGAUAUCUGGCAUCUGGCAAUUGUCUUGUCCAGAGUCAUUUGAGCAUUAUUAUUUUCAACCAUGUAUAACCUCUGCUGACUCAAGAACACAGUCAAAUGCAUCAGGAAGGAAGAAGACAUUCAGCCCUGCAGCUUGCCUGGGGUUAACCGCAUACAUUUUCAAACUAGUUCAUAGAAGAGUUCCCCCAGCAUUGGGGAAAACAUUUACUAAUGGUACUGAAAGCUUAUAGCUAGGAGGCCGUUCCUUAACAUCCAAUAAAAAGACAGACAACACGAAAGUGUGAUCUUAGAACUGUUUCUUUUGUUAUCUCUACCCAGGAGUUGUUAACAAUACAGGUAAGUGGUAAAAGACACAUACUCAGAUGAACCCUGCUUUGAUUUUGAACAUAUUAUUCCCUUCACAAAACUGUGUUGUUAUUAACCUGCAGAUUAACAGUCAUAACAUAUGACCUCAUGGUUGUAAUGAGUCCUAUUAAGAUUAUCCUGAGGACCCUAUAUAUCAGGGAAAUAUUCCAUAGGAUUAUUGUUUGAUUGUUGUUGUUCUUAUCAUUGUGUUCUUUAUUAGUACUUCUCAGAGUAUCGUGAUAUUUUAUUGAAUAAAAACGUGCAUUCAACACUAUCCUUGAAUGUCUCUUUAGAGUUGUCCAUUGGGAAGCUCCCUGAGAUGACAUCAGCAUCUGCAACGUAGGUUUUCAACUUCACUGCUUUUCUUUGAGCCUCAUAUUUAAAGUCUAUGGGGAUUUUUUUCUGCUUAUAGUGUUAUUAUUCAUAUGCACUAGACCAUAAAAACAAGUCAUGUAAAUAUCACAUACCUUACUUUUAACUAAUGUGCAAGAUGGUAGCAUAUCACUUUGAGGUUCCCUCUUCUUCCAGACCUUCUCAAAUGAAAAUGUGCGUGUGUCACUUAGUGUAUGUAUUAUUUACUAAUCUUAGGAGAGACUCAAAUAGGUAAAUUCUUUUUUUUUCCUCUUGUAUCAUGGACUUCAUUAACAAAGGAUUGUCUUGCCAUGUGCAUUUUGGUUUAUACGUCUAAUCUAAGUUAUGUAAACAUUAACAUUCAUGGUUGCUAUAGUCUUAAACUAGGGUGAAAUGGUAAUUAAGGGAUUAAGUUAGAGUUGGAUAUAUGAGAAGAAAUGAUCUUUCUGCUCUGUUUUGCGCAUUUAGACUCUCACCUCUAUAUUACCUGGAACUAGGGUUUGGUUUACUAGUUUGAAUGAGCCAUAAGACUCAUUUUGAAAUGACUCAAAUCACUUAUUUCUCAUGUCUCUCUGGUCCUGGCUCUAAUUAAUAUUGAUUUAUAUACUGUGUGAAAAAUAUCAUCCACAGAGAGGCUAGAAAUUGCUUCUUUGUCUCAAAGUAUCUCAGAUAAUGGAGUAUCUUAAGAUAUCUAUAACUCUACUGUAAUCGAUUGGACGCCGAAAUUUUUUCUGAUAGUCCAUUAGUGAAGUCUUGAUUUCAGGGUGCUCUGAUAGGGACCAGAUAUAACCUUCAAUGGUAGGAGACUGGCACGUUGUUAAUAAUUUUGGAUAUAUAUUUGAAAUGCCCCCUUUUUGGCUGUCCCAACAUGAGAUGAGUAGCAUUCUACCUUUGAAGAUGGGCAACCACUGAUUAGGUACAUUAAAUCAGUUAGUCUGCCUAAUUAUAAACUGAAUCUGCAAAACUCUAAGUCAGUAUAUGCUUUCUUUUUUGUUUAUAAGUUAGCUAUCAUAGGUAAUUCUUUGUAUUCCUAUGAACCUAAAUGAUAGAAUUUUAUCAUUAUGCUUACAACUAUUUUUAACACUGUGUGCUUAUGGCAGAGGUGUUUUGAUUAUGAAAAGAAACUUCUAUAGAGAUUUCUAGACAUGUAAUAAAAUAUUAGUAAUAAAAUUUCCAGAGAAAAUUGGAUAAAAUGUUGUAAGGACAUUUAGACAUACAUAAGAUGUGUCAAUCUUCUAUCCAAACACAGGAUUUAGAAAUAUAUGUAAAUUAAUUAUAAACUUGUUAUGGACUAAGUACACUAACAAUGAAAAUCACAAGUUGUAAACCUUGACGUUUAGCAAGAGAAAGUAACCAGAUCUGUAACCAGAUUUUUUCCCACGCGAUUACAAUUUAUUAAGGUCAUUAAAAUUGAUAUUCUAGGUUAGUAUUGUGAAUAAAAUAAUAACAAGAUUCACCAAGGAUGUACAGAGAACAAAACCACAUGGAGAUACCAUGAGAAUCAGCUCAUUUUAUCUAUUGAAAUAUUGAUCUUGGAAAUUUAAAUUCUACAGUUAUGAGAAAAUAAGUUUCUAUUUUUCACAUUUCUGGAGUACAUUGUUAUGGAAGUCUAAGCAAUGCAUUCAGAAUGAAAACAGUUUAAUAUAUAAACCUUAUGAAAUCCACUGAGGGCAAGUGGAACUCUUAAUACUACUACAUACAACUUGUCACGUUUUACCAGCCCAGUAAUAGAUAUAAAUAGAAAGUGAACACACUCCAUAUAGAGGGCCUUAGAAUUCAAAAUUUUGUGGGACAUUGAAUGAGGAACAAACUCUAUGAGAUUAAAACUAAGACAGCUUUCAGGAGACAUGUAAUGAAUGUGUAGGUUUUACAUGCUCCAUUUCCCUGUCUAAACUCAUCAAUUAGACUAAGUGUCUCCCCCACUCCUAGGAAGCAAAAAAUCAGGAAUAGAAGAAAGCCAAAUAAGUCAAAUUUUUAGUGGCCUUUGUACAUGGAAGGCAACAUCAGGUCAGUAUCCAUCAGCUAGUAGUGAUUACAGGUACAGACACUUUAGCAUCUUUUAAAAAGCUCUAAGGAUGAUUGAGCUGAAGUAUGGCUCCUCAAAAGGGAAUUAGCCAUUUUCUUAAGUUUGCCUGUUUGGCUAGUAAGUAGCAAAGUAAAAGAUUAGGUCAUAAACUAAAUAUCAUUUUCACUAAGACAUUUGCUAUAAGUCAGAUACCUUUCUAGCUUCUAUGUGUUAUGGAUAUUCUCUAAUAGAAUUCAUGCAAUGAAAAGUAUUCUUAUUAUUAUUAUUUGUAUCAAGGAACCUGAGACUCAAAGAGAUUUGCUUUUAGAUACUAAUUCAACUAGCAUUCAGAGAAGUCUAAAUGAAUAGAACUUGAAAUGGGAAAAUUAGGUCAGUAUCGCUGGUUUAGUUUAGCCUGAAUGGACUUCUCCAGUGUCUUUGUUUGGAAUAUCAGUUCUUGUUCCAAAAGACCAAGAAAGGACAAACAGAACAAUAAUUAAAUAAUACAUUUUCAGUAAAAUCUAUAAGAUUUUUUUGGUUUGUUUGUUUUGAGAUAGUGUUUUUCCUUGUAAUAGCACUGGCUACAGUGGACUCAAUUUGUAGGUCAGGCUGGCCUCAAACUGAUAGAGUUCUGCCUGCCUCUGCCUCCUCAGUUUUGAGAUUAAAGACAUGUGCCACCAUGCCUGGUGAGAUGCUCUUUGUAUAUGAGGAAAGUAUUGUGUGAAUGCAAAGACAAAGAUCUUGAGACCUAAUGUUGAAAGAAACAUUCAUUUGAAGGCAAAAAUAGCAAGCUGUUCACUAGUGAUUGGUCCUCACUGAAGUUGAUGAGUGUAAGUUAUUUUAUAAUCAUUCAUGAAAAGAAGAAGGAAGGCCCUGCCCAGUGCUUAAUUAAGAACUAAAGAGAAGUGGAGGGAUUCAAUGAAAAUAUGAAAUCAUAAAAUUUUAGAUGAUUACAGAUAUUCUGCUUUGCACUUUGGGAUUACUAUAACACACAGAUGUCCUCAAUAUAACCAGGGUGUACUCAACGCCUAAAAAUUUUAUCUGCAAACAAAUAUGAAAUAUCAAUUUCAUACAAUUUUCAUCUAUAAGUGCUGUUAUUGGUGGCUAAUCAUCAUGUUAUUAAUUAUAAAUAGCAUUUUUUAUUUUAUAUUGCAAGAAAUUAAACCAAGACACUUGUAGGAUGUUCCAGAGAGUGUCAAGGAAAUCAGGUCUUUGAUUUGAGGAAUGGUGGAAGUCACUGGGAAGAUCAUAGGUAGGUACUUCAUUCAGAGCCAUUGUUGGUAUCUGUUCCAUAGAGCACAUGGAGGUCUCAUGUCUGCUACUCACAUAUAUUUAAAUGAUUAACAGUGGUUUAUUUCUUGGAAAGUGGAAUGAUGACAAGAUCCCUACCUUUUAUUUAAAUUUGUCUUUGAAAAAAAAAAACACAUUACCAGCUUAUUAGCUAUAAAUCAAAGGGAGAUAUAUAUCACAUUUAAACUCUGUUUUCCUAUAAGACAAACCUAAAUAUUUUUAAUAAUAGAGAAUUUUAAAGAUACCUAGCUA
rnacentral:lncRNA from 1 species